AUUGAACACUGGCGGCAUGCCUUACACAUGCAAGUCGAACGGUAACGCGGGGCAACCUGGCGACGAGUGGCGAACGGGUGAGUAAUAUAUCGGAACGUGCCCAGUAGUGGGGGAUAGCCCGGCGAAAGCCGGAUUAAUACCGCAUACGACCUACGGGUGAAAGCGGGGGAUCGCAAGACCUCGCGCUAUUGGAGCGGCCGAUAUCAGAUUAGGUAGUUGGUGGGGUAAAGGCCUACCAAGCCUACGAUCUGUAGCUGGUCUGAGAGGACGACCAGCCACACUGGGACUGAGACACGGCCCAGACUCCUACGGGAGGCAGCAGUGGGGAAUUUUGGACAAUGGGCGCAAGCCUGAUCCAGCCAUGCCGCGUGCGGGAAGAAGGCC
rnacentral:rRNA from 1 species